rnacentral:rRNA from 1 species
AACGAACGCUGGCGGCAUGCCUAACACAUGCAAGUCGAACGAGACCUUCGGGUCUAGUGGCGCACGGGUGCGUAACGCGUGGGAACCUGCCCUUAGGUUCGGAAUAACUCCCCGAAAGGGGUGCUAAUACCGGAUAAUGUCUUCGGACCAAAGAUUUAUCGCCUUUGGAUGGGCCCGCGUUGGAUUAGCUAGUUGGUAGGGUAAAAGCCUACCAAGGCGACGAUCCAUAGCUGGUCGGAGAGGAUGAUCAGCCACACUGGGACUGAGACACGGCCCAGACUCCUACGGGAGGGAGCAGUGGGGAAUAUUGGACAAUGGGCGAAAGCCUGAUACAGCAAUGCCGCGUGAGUGAUGAAGGCCUUAGGGUUGUAAAGCUCUUUUACCCGGGAUGAUAAUGACAGUACCGGGAGAAUAAGCUCCGGCUAACUCCGUG